rnacentral:rRNA from 1 species
UACAGAGGGUGCGAGCGUUAAUCGGAAUUACUGGGCGUAAAGCGCGCGUAGGCGGCUUUGCAAGUCGGGUGUGAAAUCCCCAGGCUUAACCGUGGGAACUGCAUUCGAGACGUGCAUUGCUAGAGUAUGGGAGAGGGAGUGGAAUUUCCGGUGUAGCGGUGAAAUGCGUAGAUAUCGGAAGGAACAUCAGUGGCGAAAGCGACUUCCUGGACCAAUACUGACGCUCAGUGAUGCGAAAGCGUGGGGAGCAAACAGGAUUGAGAAACC